rnacentral:rRNA from 1 species
AAGCGUGCGCAGGCGGUAAUGUAAGACAGAUGUGAAAUCCCCGGGCCUCAACCUGGGAACUGCAUUUGUGACUGCAUUGCUGGAGUGCGGCAGAGGGGGAUGGAAUUCCGCGUGUAGCAGUGAAAUGCGUAGAUAUGCGGAGGAACACCGAUGGCGAAGGCAAUCCCCUGGGCCUGCACUGACGCUCAUGCACGAAAGCGUGGGGAGCAAACAGGAUUAGAUACCCGAGU